AUCCGUUGAUUUUGUGGGAGGUCGCUGCUAUUAGAGUUCGAUUUAGCUAAGCUAGUCUAGGGGUCGUAAGACACCGGCGGAAUGUUUCAUAACACGUCGUUAAUCUGCCCUAUGCUCAAGGAUAGUCUUGGGAAACUGAGUUUAAUACUUGAUAGAUGAUUGAUACUGGAAUGUGCUUUCAUUGAAAGAUUACGGCAUAGGAUGAGACGGCGGCCGAUUAGGUUGUUGGUGGGGUAAUGGCCCACCAAGCCGACGAUCGGUAGGGGCCUUGAAAGAGGUAGCCCCAAGGAGGACACUGAGAUAAGGGUCCUGACUCUACGGAGUAUAGCAAGUGUGAAAACUUUAUAAUAUAUGAAAGUGUGAUAAGGGAACUCUAAGUGCUCAUGUAAAGUAUGGGCUUUUGUUAAGUGUAAAAAACUUGGAGAAUAAGUGGUGGGUAAGACUGGUGUUAGUAGUUGUGGUAACACCAGCGCCACGAGUGGGGACCGGUAUUAUUGGGCUUAAAGCGUCCGUAGCGGGAUUUGUAAAUCCUUUGUGAAAUGGUUGGGCUUAAUUUAAUCGUUGGCAGAGGACACUGCAGAUCUUGAGAUCGGGAGGAGUAAGAGGUAUGCCUUGGGUAGUGGUAAAAUGUUAUAAUUUUUGGUGGAUUACCUGUGGCGAAGGCGCUUACUAGAACGAGUCUGACCGUGAGGGACGAAAGCUGGGGGAGUGAUUUGGAUUAGAUAUUCGAGUAGUCCCAGCUGUAAACGUUGUGAGUUAGGUGUAGCACAUUUUAUGGGAAUGUGCUGUGUCGAAGUGAAGGUGAUAAACUCACCGCCUGGGUAGUACGGUCGUAAGACUGAAAUUUAAAGGAAUUGGCGGGGGAGCACAACAAGGGGUGCGGCGUGCGGUUUAAUCCAAUUUAAUAUGGAGAAUCUCACCAGAGGUGAUGGUAGGAUGAAGGUUAGAUUGAAGGUUUUAUCUAAUAAGUUGAGAGGUGGUGUAUGGCCGCCGUUAGCUUGUGUUGUGAAGUGUUUUGUUAAGUUAGGUAAUGAGUGAGGUUUGUAUCUAUAAUUGCCAGUAAUAUUUUUAGAUGGAUUGGGUAUAUUAUAGGAAUUGCCUUGGAAAUAAGGAGGAAGGUGUAGGCAAUGGUAGGUCUGUAUGUUUUGAAUUUUCUGGGCUACACGCGCGCAACAAUGGUAUGGACAAUGGGAUGCAACUCCGAAAGGAGAAGCUAAACCUCUAAACCAUAUCUUAGUCCAGAUUGUGGUUUGUAACUCAGCCACAUGACGUUGGAAUCCCUAGUAACCAGAUUUUAGUAUAAUCCGGUGAAUAUGUUUUUGCUCCUUGUAUAUAUCGCCCGUCAAGCCAACCGAGUAGGUUCUAGAUGAAAUUUAGUGUUUAAUUAGUGUGAAUCUGGGAUCAGUGAGGUGGGCUAAGUUGUUAUAAGGUA
rnacentral:rRNA from 1 species